rnacentral:tRNA from 1 species
GGAAGCGUGGCAGAGCGGCCGAAUGCACUCGCCUUGAAAGCGAGCGUCACGAAAGUGACCGGGGGUUCGAAUCCCCCCGCUUCCG